rnacentral:rRNA from 1 species
UACGUAGGGGGCUAGCGUUGUUCGGAAUUACUGGGCGUAAAGGGCGCGUAGGCGGUUUGCUAAGUUGGAUGUGAAAACUCUGGGCUUAACCCAGAGCCUGCAUCCAAAACUGGCAAACUUGAGUACUGGAGGGGAAAGCGGAAUUCCUGGUGUAGCGGUGAAAUGCGUAGAUAUCAGGAGGAACACCGGUGGCGAAGGCGGCUUUCUGGACAGUAACUGACGCUGAGGCGCGAAAGCUAGGGGAGCAAACAGG